CGGGAUGUGGCGCAGUUGGUUAGCGUGCUGGUCUGGGGGACCAGAGGCCGUGAGUUCGAGUCUCACCAUCCCGA
rnacentral:tRNA from 1 species